rnacentral:rRNA from 1 species
UGGGGAAUAUUGCGGCAAUGGGGGGAAACCCUGAUGCAGCAACGCCGCGUGAAGGAAGAAGGCCUUUGGGUCGUAAACUUCUGUUCUGAGGGAAGAAGAAAGUGACGGUACCUCAGGAGAAAGCCCCGACUAACUACGUGCCAGCAGCCGCGGUAAUACGUAGGGGGCAAGCGUUGUCCGGAAUUAUUGGGCGUAAAGAGUACGUAGGCGGUUUGCUAAGCGCAAGGUGAAAGGCAGUGGCUUAACCAUUGUAAGCCUUGCGAACUGACAGACUUGAGUGCAGGAGAGGAAAGCGGAAUUCCUAGUGUAGCGGUGAAAUGCGUAGAUAUUAGGAGGAACACCGGUGGCGAAGGCGGCUUUCUGGACUGUAACUGACGCUGAGGUACGAAAGCGUGGGGAGCAAACAGGAUUAGAUACCCUGGUAGU